AGUACUAUUUCUGAAUGCUGAAGCAGGCUAAAUACGGUAUCUUACUGACUUCUCUGCUGCUGCUCGUAGAGGAAGGGAACGUAACGAUCCUGUGGAUCACAAACGAAGCUGGGAGCCCCUUACUUUUCCCUUCCUGCAGUUAAUGUGUAAGGUGCUGCACAGAAAAUGUAGCUCGUAGCUCUGAGAGGGGAAUGGGCCAGGCUAGAGAAUACAUUUUGCUCCUGCAAGCGUAGAGUAGGAGCUGAAUGCAGUGUUGGUGCCAUCUCUAUCUCUGUUCCCCAACUCUGGAUCCUGUAUAGUGUUGACAGGAAUGAUGAUAAACAGUCACUGUCCCCUGACAUGAAGAGGCAAUCAGAAACGUAGCUUACCAUUUUAUAUUCUCUGCCGCUUGAAUUGCGUCCAGCAAGAAGACAGACUUUGCCAAGAAUGGAGCAGUGCUUGAACUAUAGUAUUUUUAGGCAUAAAUACGUGGUGGAUUUGUUGUUGUUUUUAAGGCGUUUGGUCUUAAAAUGUUUUCCUGAUCUAAGAAAAUGUGUCCUGGAAAUGUUUGAUAGUUGUUAGGAUCAGUUGCUUUUUGGAACUUCUGCUCAUACUGUUGCCCCCUUCAGUGGGAAAAUCACUUCUGUCUCUUUUGAGACAGUCAGAGCCUUAUAUGUAAAUUUAUUUAAGAUGAAUACUUACUGUUUGUCAUUAUUAUAAUAGCGAACAAAGAUGACUGCUGCCCUACGAGAGGAUGGCAGAGCUCUCCUACUGCAACCUUGCCUAAUUAGGUGAAACUUGAUCUAGCCUGUCUUGUUCCUGUCACAACUGGGGCCUGUCUUGUUUCUUUAGAACAUCUUAUCACUGCUCGUCAUUACUGCUUGAAUUCGUAUGCCAGUAGACCAAAAAUACUCCAUUUAAGUAGUUUUUCACUGUAGUUGUUGCACGGGAACUCUUCUUAGGUUUUAGCUCUACACAAUAUUUUUAUAUUCACCGCUAUUUGCAACUGUCCACAUGAAGAAUAUUUUAAGGAUGGUCCUUCAGAAUAUUAUAAAAACAUCAAAAGACAAAUCCUGGCUACCAGAAAAGACUGGACUUAACUCUAAAAACUGGACAAAGGACAGAAUUAUAAAAAAGAAGAUGAUAUUAACUGUGUUUUUGAGCAACAAUGAACAGAUUUUGACAGAAGUUCCAAUUACACCAGAAACAACCUGUCGCGAUGUAGUAGAGUUCUGCAAAGAGCCUGGAGAAGGAAGCUGCCAUCUGGCUGAAGUAUGGCGUGGGAAU